rnacentral:rRNA from 1 species
AGAGUUUGAUCAUGGCUCAGAACGAACGCUGGCGGCAUGCCUAACACAUGCAAGUCGAACGAAGGCUUCGGCCUUAGUGGCGCACGGGUGCGUAACGCGUGGGAAUCUGCCCUUAGGUACGGAAUAACUCAGGGAAACUUGAGCUAAUACCGUAUAAUGACUCCGGUCCAAAGAUUUAUCGCCUGAGGAUGAGCCCGCGUCGGAUUAGCUAGUUGGUGAGGUAAAAGCUCACCAAGGCGACGAUCCGUAGCUGGUCUGAGAGGAUGAUCAGCCACACUGGGACUGAGACACGGCCCAGACGCCUACGGGAGGCAGCAGUGGGGAAUAUUGGACAAUGGGCGCAAGCCUGAUCCAGCAAUGCCGCGUGAGUGAUGAAGGCCUUAGGGUUGUAAAGCUCUUUUACCCGGGAUGAUAAUGACAGUACCGGGAGAAUAAGCCCCGGCUAACUCCGUGCUAGCAGCCGCGGUAAUAC